GAUGAACGCUAGCGGGAGGCCUAACACAUGCAAGCCGAGCGGUAUUUGUUCUUCGGAACAGAGAGAGCGGCGCACGGGUGCGGAACACGUGUGCAACCUGCCUUUAUCUGGGGGAUAGCCUUUCGAAAGGAAGAUUAAUACCCCAUAAUAUAUUGAGUGGCAUCAUUUGAUAUUGAAAACUCCGGUGGAUAGAGAUGGGCACGCGCAAGAUUAGAUAGUUGGUGAGGUAACGGCUCACCAAGUCAAUGAUCUUUAGGGGGCCUGAGAGGGUGAUCCCCCACACUGGUACUGAGACACGGACCAGACUCCUACGGGAGGCAGCAGUGAGGAAUAUUGGACAAUGGGUUAGCGCCUGAUCCAGCCAUCCCGCGUGAAGGACGACGGCCCUAUGGGUUGUAAACUUCUUUUGUAUAGGGAUAAACCUACUCUCGUGAGAGUAGCUGAAGGUACUAUACGGAUAAGCACCGGCUAACUCCGUG
rnacentral:rRNA from 1 species